rnacentral:rRNA from 1 species
UACGUAGGGGGCAAGCGUUGUCCGGAUUUAUUGGGCGUAAAGAGCGUGUAGGCGGCUUUACAGGUCCGUUGUGAAAACUCGAGGCUCAACCUCGAGACGCCGGUGGAAACCGUAAGGCUAGAGUCCGGAAGAGGAGAGUGGAAUUCCUGGUGUAGCGGUGAAAUGCGCAGAUAUCAGGAGGAACACCCGUGGCGAAAGCGGCUCUCUGGGACGGUACGGACGCUGAGACGCGAAAGCGUGGGGAGCAAACAGG